AUGUGCCACAUGUACGCUGCGGUUCUGAGCGCGCCGUCCGCGCCCACCUGACGGCUGCUCGCUACGUUUUGUUAGCC
rnacentral:sRNA from 15 species